ensembl:lncRNA
GUGGAAGGACUCCAGGGAGUAUUUAUCAUCACAUUUCCUUCCCCUUGCAGCCUGUUUAUGUCUCUAAUCAUGGAGAAAUGAUGAAAGAACUCAGACUCGUCUGCCUACUCCUUAAUGAGGAAGCCUUUUCCUACUGCCCUUCAGUGCCCUGGCAGCAGAUUAAAACCACAGGGUGACAGAAGAACUGAUAGCUAGACCAGGAAGAUCUGAAGCACUUACCAUCUGGAACAUGCAUUAUCAGCCAGUCCGGUUUUGCACAGAAAUGAACCACAUGGCAAAGAAUAAUCAGCCUGGUCCAGGAGUCCACAGACCUCCGGUCUUGACUGCCAGAACGUGCCAGGGCCUCGACAUUUGUCCCACCACAUCUGCAGUGAUCCCACCUCCUUUUCUACCUUUCUCAUCAUCAGCUCGACAUUAACCUUGCUUUUGGGAAGACAGAAGACAGAGCCACAAAAGCAGCCCAAGAAGGGAAGGGCCAUAAGAGUCAAGGCAACCACCGAGAAAACAGUCAUGAAAGCCCAUCGGAGGAUCUGCACAGAUCCUGUGCCGCCAUGACAGAGUAGUGAAAGGGUUAGCACCGGGCAUCUACUUCUCCAGGGUGGGGGGAGUGAUGGGAGUAAUAAGGUGUCCCCUUCCAGCGCUGGUUAGUUGAAGACACAAGAUUCUUUGUUCUUUAUCUGUUGCUUUCAAUUUAGAUUUAAUUUGUUGAUCAUAAAAACUCUUGGCCAGAGCAAACGCUAAGCUGUAUCUAUUUUGAUAUUAUUAUUAUUAUUAUUAUUAUUACAUCUAUUUCUUAGAUUAAAUUCUCACCUUCUGAAGCUCUUGUUCACUUAACCUACCCUGAUAAUCCCUUUGGUUUUCAGGUGAGCUUGGGUUUCCCUGAUGUCAUCCCAUCUAAUUUUAUCCACUGCCUUCACCACCUCCACUCACCAAUCUGUAGAAGGGAUGCAGGGAAAAUAUUAUGGGAAUUCAGUCUUUACCACUUUAAGGGAGAUGCUGAAAAGAGCCUAACCAUGCUUGGCAUGUGUAGACAAAAUGUGAAGAUACAUAAUAGAGGGCCGAUGGGAAAAUGGUGUGUGUUUAAUCAAUGUAUAGGUAUUCUAGAGAAGUAGAGAAGACGAAGGACCUGUCGUACCAGAGUGAGGAAAUUGUUUUGAGAAUUGUCACAGACAAUAUCAGAAUUGGCUGAUAGUGUAAGAUGAUUGCUAGCAUUGCCGCUAGGUGGCGCCAUAGUACACAGAGUGCCGGACUCAAGGGCCGAGUUCAAAUGUGACCUCAUAAUUUACUAGCAGUGUGACCCUGAACAAAUCACUUAACCCUGUUCGCCUCAUUUUCCUCGUCUGUAUAAUGUGCUGAAGAAGGAAAUGGCAAAGCACUCCAGUGACUUUGCCAAGAAAACCCCGAAAGGGGUCAGAGAGUGGACGUGACUGAAAUGACACAGCAGUACCAAUUACAGCCACGGAUGGUCUGAGGGAUGAAGCCAGUUGCCCGGAAAUGUGAACCCCACAUGUGGGGGUACCAGGGACAAUUCUUGCCGUCUGGAUUCUUCUGUGCUGAAUACAGAGAUGCUCUAGUCACGUGACAAGAUCAUCUGCAGGCUGCCGUUUCCAUAGAAACCCUAGAGCAAUCAGCAGACAAAGGGACUCCAAUUAAUGAGGAAGCUGAAAGGCACCUUAAAAGACUUAAUUCAUUCCCUUUCAUUUUAUAUUUGUGAGAAAGGUGAGGACUGAAAGCGUGAAAAGCAUGGGCUCUGCAAAGACCCACCACUUCAUGUUCUUUAUUAAUUUAGGUGAAAAGACAUUUGGGGGAGGAAGAAGGAAGGAAGAAAUGUUUUUGGAUGCCAAGUUUUUCCCAUUUAAGCAGGGACCACACAGCUCAUUUCAUUUAUGAGCAACAAUGCAAGGGGAAGAAGAAAAACGAGAAACAGAAAUGCAUCAGUGGAGACUCCCACAGCUAUAACUUUCUCUGUCAGACUUUACUCUUGGGUUCACACUGAUUCAAGCUAAUUCCCUCUCCAAAGGGCUUCUGUCUGGGCAGCAGAAUAGAGUAUAAGAAAAGGCAUUGGCGUAAGGAUGAAGGGGCCCUGGGUUUUGUCUCUUGUUGGCGGAGUGACCCUCGGCAGGGCCUUAAACUUCCCUGACCUUCAGUUUUCACCCCUGCACAACGAGAACAAUCUUACCUAGUAAAUCUUCCAUCUGUGCAAAUAAAGGCAACAAGAAUUUAUUGAUUUUUUUAAUG